rnacentral:pre_miRNA from 1 species
AAAAUACUCCCUCCGUCCCAAAAUUCUUGUCUUAAAUUUAUCUAAAUACGGAUGUAUCUAGUUACAUUUUAGUGUUAGAUACAUCCGUAUCUAAACAAAUGUAAGACAAGAAUUUUGGGACGGAGGGAAUAUAAC